CCUGGGGCUUACGCCCCAGGCUUUAUGCUGGCGCCUGCUUCGCAGGCU
rnacentral:sRNA from 1 species